CCUACGGGUGGCAGCAGUAGGGAAUAUUGCACAAUGGGGGAAACCCUGAAGCAGCGACGCCGCGUGGAGGAUGACGGUUUUCGGAUUGUAAACUCCUUUUGUUAGAGAAGAUAAUGACGGUAUCUAACGAAUAAGCACCGGCUAACUCCGUGCCAGCAGCCGCGGCAAUACGGAGGGUGCAAGCGUUACUCGGAAUCACUGGGCGUAAAGAGCGCGUAGGCGGGGUAGCAAGUCAGAUGUGAAAUCCUAUGGCUUAACCAUAGAACUGCAUUUGAAACUGUUAUUCUAGAGUAUGGGAGAGGUAGGUGGAAUUCUUGGUGUAGGGGUAAAAUCCGUAGAGAUCAAGAGGAAUACUCAUUGCGAAGGCGACCUGCUGGAACAUAACUGACGCUGAUGCGCGAAAGCGUGGGGAGCAAACAGGAUUAGAUACCCGAGUAGUC
rnacentral:rRNA from 1 species